rnacentral:lncRNA from 1 species
UGAAUUUGAUUUAGAGACAUCAGCAAAGGAGUGACACGGCUUCCCUAGCAUGGUUGUCUAUGCCAGUUCAGAUUCCGACCCCACACAUUGCUGAAAUGAGCCAACGUCAAGCCAGAGCUUGCACAAGGAAACAAGCAAAUUAAAUUUGAAAGGCGAAGAGGACACUCUGCUGCCAGAAUUAAAAAUGCCUACAACAGGGAUCUAUUCAAGAGGAGACAUUGAACUGUUGGGUCUGAAUUAACUUGUCCCUUGGUGCGAGAAGGUAAGAUCCCUGUCAGGCAGGAGAAGGAAAGAUCAGCAUCUGACUUUUGUGCCUGUGUGAGCCUUCUGGGACCCCUCCAAUGAGUAACACUUGUACAGCCAUAGAGCAGAGGAGGAAAUGUCUCAGUUCAGGUCCAUAGGUGCUGUGUGGUGGGAGGUGGAAGUGCCCUGGCAUGCCUGAU